AUGCCCGUCGUUUUGCCGCUCCUGCUCGCCGACCACCCGUGUCGACCACGCUCGUCCCCAGUGGCUGACUGCAGCUCACCCACCGGCCGGUUCCAGCUCGCUCCCAUUGUGGUUGCAGCAUCUCCACGCAUCACCGCCUCCGCUCGUCGCCGUCGUCCGCUCAGACCAUCGUGUUCCGUUGCAAAAAAGAAAAUCUCAGCCAAAGCAAAAAAUCUAUUGAUUUUGCCGGCAGUAGCAAAAACACAUGCGGGUUGUAGCAAAAAUUAUCCAUGUUUCCAGCAAAAACACAUUGCCGCCGCCGGUCAUAGCAAGAACUCUCACCUGCCCAUGCAGCAAAAAAUCUUGCCGGUUCCAGCAAUUUUUUUUGCCAGUUCCAGCAAAAACGAACUCGACGUCGUCCGGUUCCCGCACCCGCCAAAAGUGGUUGCAGCUUUUCUGCCGUCUGGUUCCAGCAAUAAAAAUCUCUAG
rnacentral:rRNA from 1 species